GUGAAUUUUUUUACAUUGAGGAAGGUGUGUUGGGAUGUUGUUAUCAACAUCUGUUAAUUGUCAAGAAGUACUCAGUAGCUCAACUGUUAACAGGUGCUGCUAAGAACGUAUCAGUAAGAACAUAUGGAAGAGGAGCUAUGACAAAAUUGAUAUUUAAACUUUAAAUAUCAAGAAUUUGCGAGGACUUACCAAGUGUUCAGUCUGGGCAAGACUACCCUUUGCUGAUCUAAAUAGCUUUCCAACAACUGUGGGCCAUUUGUUUCUGCUACAGCGAGGCAACUUUUUUCCAGUAGUGGUGAAAAUUGUGCAGCGGCCCCUUGAAGGAAAUCUUCCUGCCCACCAGAACUGGCAGCUUCCUUUCCCUAGCAACCUGCUCCAGCAACAAGGGUCUUUUGCUUUGGCUCUCGCAGCACUUGGUUGGCAAAGCCGACUCUUUGGAGAACCAACUUGUUGAAAGGAAUUGUACUAGCCUUCAGGAAAGAAAGUGCAUAUGCAUCCCUGGAAAAGUACAUUGUGAAACUAUGGAAUUACCAAAACUACAGAACAAAUACAUAUUGAGAGAAGCCCAGAUCACACAGAGACACCACAUGGAGGAUUGCUGAGGCGAUCUGGUUGACAGCCUCAGAUGAGCUCUGAGCUAACACACCAGCAUCAAAUGCCAGUCUUGUGAGCAUGUGAUCUUGGAUGUCCCAACUAGCCAAAGCUUGGGAAGACUGCAGUAGAAGCACCCAGGUGAACAUAGCCACCUUACAUACUGUUGAGGGAUAAUAUGUGACUUUUGUUGUAGGGUACUGAAUUUGGGUAUUUCAUUUUGUGGUAAUAGCAAACAAAAAUAUCUUCAUUUUUUGAGUGCUUGUCAUGUACCAGACACUGUGCCAGAAACUUUGCAUUCAUUAUCUCAUUAAAUCUUCACCAAUUUAUAGGUUAGAUGUGAUUCCCACUUUAAGAUUAAGUUAGAACAUUUCCUGGCUAAAAGGGGAAAGGAAUGCUACAGAGAUAUGUUAAAAUCCAGUCUGUAUACUCAUGUGUUUUCACAUAAUUUUGUUAAAAGACCACAUAACCUUGGUGAGUCAUUAACCCCCAUUGUGAACGUUUUUCUCAUUCAUAAAACAAAACUGAUGACCCACAUGUUUAUCAUGAUAAUCUUAGGCAUAUAUAAAUUAUCCCGUGUAGCCUAAAAUCUAAUAUACAUAGCGUGUGACAGUGUAUUUAAAAUCAUAUCUAAGCUAC